rnacentral:lncRNA from 1 species
GAGAGGGCGGCGGCGGCAAGCCCGGCUCCUCCUCCGCGGCCCGGCCUCCUCAGCAAACACGCCGCCCCCUCAGCCCAGCAGCCCGCCACUCGGCGGCGCCGAGCCGACCGGGUCCGGAGCCGCAGCGGCGCGCGCGCAGGAAGUCCCGCCCCCGUACGUCAUCAACGCCGCGCGCCGCCCCGGCCGGCCUGGAGCCGUUGGUGGGGGACGCAGGCGACCGUUGCGCUGGCAGCGGCUGCUGCGGUGGGCACAGUGGGAACACGCCACUCUGCGAUGUCCCCUGCGGGCCGCGUCGAAAGCCCGCGAGCCCGGGAAAGGGCAGGUCACGCCCCGGACACUCGUGUCGUGGAGCCGGUGUCACCUCAAAGCCCGGUGGGUUGAGGGACUCUCUGCCCUCGUCCCGCUCUUGUCACACUUCCUUUUCUGAGGGCCUGGACGGUGCUCCUCUCCCCGCCACCUCUGUCCCUGCAGGCUGCCUGCCAUCGUGCCUGCUGGGCGGAUUUUCGAGCUCUGGCACCCAGUCAGCCUGCGAGUGCGGAGUCGCCCCCAGCUUGUCACCAGGGAAGUCAGCACCUCCAUUUUCAAAGAGCAUCUUCCAGAGAGACUAAACUUGGAAAACACUGAGACCACAAAACAUUAUAUUCACAGAAUUCAAAGGGAUAUUGGAUACAGAAUAAGAAAUUUUGGGAGAUUAAAAUUCAGGAGUUCAGUUCCAGCCUGGAAAACAAGAUGGAACUUUCCAGCCUGCACCAAUGUUCACAUUUCUGAUUGAGUUACAAGAUUUUUCUUCUUUUGACCUCAGAAGUCACUUGGAAACUUUGGGGAAAAUUUCACCACAUCUUUUACAUUUUGCUUAUGGUUAGCAGGAGAUACAUUAGAACUUAAAAGAAGUAUCUCAGCCUCCAAUAUCAGUAGUGUUGCUGUAAACCCAUCCCUAAGGUUUCCUAUCCAGGCUUUGGCUGUCACACUUCAUUGCCGGUGUAAUUCAUGUUCACAGUUUUACCAUCACAGCCAGCCAUAUUUUUAGUGAAUUGCUUUAAACUCUUUGCUGAAGUGUGUGUGUGUGUGUGUGUGUGUGUGUGUGUGUGUGUGUGUGUGUGUGUGUGUGUUGCGCGCGCACGCGUGCGUGCGCGCGUGCAUGCAUGCGUGCAUGCUUGUUUUGGUCUUUUUUAAGUUGUUCUUUUUUUACAGAGAGUUUUUCACAUUUUUGUUAGGAAAUUUUACAAUACCAUUAAGAAAUGCUUUCCUAGUUUGCUAUUUCCCAGUAGCUACUUCUCAGUAAUGUCAGCUUUGAUGGCAUUUUUGGUAGUGUUUUUAUUUUGUGUCUUAAUCUUAGCACAUGAACCAUGCCAUUAUUAGUUUCUACUGGAGAUAGUUAUGUGUGUUUGGUAUGUGUGCCUGCUCAUGUGUGUCUGUCUGCACAUAUGUGCACAUGGGUGUGGAGGACAGAGAUUGACUUUGGAUGCUUUUAUUUAUCAUCUAUCCAGUUUUUUUUUUUUUUGAACAAGGUCUCACACUGAACCUGUAAUUCAUCAGUUCAGAUAGGCUGGCUGGCCAGUGAGUUUCAGGGAUCUGCCUGUCUCUGCUCUCUCAGUACUGGGUUAUCUGUCAUAUUAGAUAAGCACUUUACUGGCUGAGUUAUCUCUCUAAUACCCUGCUGGAAACAGUUUAUCCAGAGUUCUUAUUUGGGUCUUUCAUCUUCGUCAUCUACUUUAUCUUCUUCAUAAGUAUCAUUUCCUGAUAUUUGUUACUUCAUAACUUUCAUAUCUAUAUUUCUUGCCUUUUUCAUAGUCUUUUCAGUCCUACUUUUCCUUCUUGUCAUUGUAGCCUCUUUUAAGCCACCAUGUUUGGGAAGCUGCUCUUCCCUGAUCCCCAUGGGCCUAUCCUCUUGAGAAUGUAAUUUGUUAAGGCAAACUACAGUUCCUGUCACCCAGUGAGCUUGAGGGUUCAAGUGCUGCUUGUCUUUCUACUCCACUGUCUGAUUCUAUUUUCCUUCCGUUGUUUUUCUAAUCCUGAUGAAAAAUGUAUAUUGACAAUUAUUUACGUCUCACUCUGGAAUUGCUGCACAUGUCCUCCCACAGUUACAAUUUGGAAUCAAAAUGUUACCAGAUUGGUCACCUAUGUGUUUUUCUCUGCCUAGUAGCAUUUUGUUUUCCUAUUGAUCUAGCUCAGUUAUCCCUGCCAAGAUGGGAAAUCCUUGCGAGUUCUCAGCUGGACCCAGAGUUCAAAAUGCCCAAAGAGUAACCAUAACUUAGAGUCUAAUGGGACUUUUGUUGGCCCCUGGAAGAAAUUAUCCCAUUUGGAGGUCAGAACUUUUAUACCUUCAAAGUAAAGAGUUCUGGGACAGAACGAAGUAUCCUCUAACAAGUCAGUGGUACUGAUGUUCAGUGGGGUCACUUCUGCUUCCUUAGCUUUGUUCUUGGACCCAUGUGUUUGUUCUUCUUAGUAGGGACAAUACCUUUAGAAGUCUCUGAGUUUGAGUUAGUGUUAUGUUCUGUUUCUUGAAAGAUGGCACUUAAUGCUUAUGAAAUCCUGCUUCUGAACUGGCACUUCAGCUAAACCAUUAUUACAUUGGAAAUAAAUGUUAGGGUUAAGAUGAAUUUUAAGGUUAA